UACGUAGGGUGCGAGCGUUGCCCGGAUUUAUUGGGCGUAAAGGGCGCGUAGGCGGCUCUGCACGUCCGUUGUGAAAUCGCCCGGCUCAACUGGGCGGGGUCAGCGGAUACGGCAGAGCUCGAGCAAGCUAGGGGGCAAUGGAAUUCCCGGUGUAGUGGUGGAAUGCGUAGAUAUCGGGAGGAACACCAGUGGCGAAGGCGGGUCUCUGGGCCGGAUACUGACGCUGAGGAGCGAAAGCGUGGGGAGCAAACAGG
rnacentral:rRNA from 1 species